AUUGAACGCUGGCGGUAUGCCUUACACAUGCAAGUCGAACGGUAGAGGGGCAACCCUUGAGAGUGGCGAACGGGUGAGUAAUACAUCGGAACGUGCCCAGUCGUGGGGGAUAACGUAGCGAAAGCUACGCUCAUACCGCAUACGACCCGAGGGUGAAAGCGGGCGAUCUUCGGACCCCGCCCGAUUGGCGCGGCCGAUGGCAGAUUAGGUAGUUGGUGGGGUAAAGGCCUACCAAGCCUGCGAUCUGUAGCUGGUCUGAGAGGACGACCAGCCACACUGGGACUGAGACACGGCCCAGACUCCUACGGGAGGCAGCAGUGGGGAAUUUUGGACAAUGGGCGAAAGCCUGAUCCAGCCAUACCGCGUGCGGGAAGAAGGCCUUCGGGUUGUAAACCGCUUUUGUCAGGGAAGAAAUCUUCUGGGUUAAUACCUCGGGAGGAUGACGGUACCUGAAGAAUAAGCACCGGCUAACUACGUGCCAGCCGCCGCGGUAACAC
rnacentral:rRNA from 1 species